rnacentral:rRNA from 1 species
UACGUAGGGGGCAAGCGUUAUCCGGAUUUACUGGGUGUAAAGGGAGCGUAGACGGCGAUGCAAGCCAGAUGUGAAAGCCCGCGGCUCAACUGCGGUAGUGCAUUUGGAACUGUAUGGCUGGAGUGCAGGAGAGGCAGGCGGAAUUCCUAGUGUAGCGGUGAAAUGCUUAGAUAUAACUUAGAACCCCGAUAGCGAAGGCAGCUUACCAGACUGUUACUGACGCUGAAGCACGAGAGCGUGGGUAGCGAACAGG